GCUUGCUCUUAUGAAGUUAGCGGCGGACGGUUUAUUAAUACGUGGGUAACCUGCCCAGGAGACUGGGAUAAUUCCGGGGAACCGGGGCUAAUACCGGAUAACAUUUUGAACCGCAUGGUUCGAAAUUGAAAGGCGGCUUCGGCUGUCACUUAUGGAUGGACCCGCGUCGCAUUAGCUAGUUGGUGAGGUAACGGCUCACCAAGGCAACGAUGCGUAGCCGACCUGAGAGGGUGAUCGGCCACACUGGGACUGAGACACGGCCCAGACUCCUACGGGAGGCAGCAGUAGGGAAUCUUCCGCAAUGGACGAAAGUCUGACGGAGCAACGCCGCGUGAGUGAUGAA
rnacentral:rRNA from 1 species